rnacentral:lncRNA from 1 species
CUUUUUUGCAGGAUUACUGUGGGUCACACAAGUCCUGUAGAGCACCUCUUGUAAUGCCAAUGACAGUGUCAGUUUUUUCUAAGUAAAAUUUCUUCACAGAGUUCAUGAAAGAGAGAAAAAAUCCUGGAAAUGUAACACGAUGCAGCAGUUAUUUAAGCCCAAGUUCAAUGCCUUCUAACUAGGAUGCAUCUUACUAAACAUAUAUUUGAUAAACUAUAACACAGAAGAUAGGAUAAUGAACAAGAUAGACAUGGUAUCUGUAUUAGUCUGCUCAGGCCGCCAUAACAAAAUACCACAAAUUAUGUGGCUUAAACAACAGAAAUUUAUUUUCUCACAGUUCUGCAGGGUGAGAAGUCCAAGAUUAAGGUUCUGGCUCAUUUGGAUCCUGGUGAGGCCUCCCUUCCUGCUCACAGAUGGCUACAUUCUCACUGUGUCCUCAUAUGGUGGAGAGAACAAGAAUGAAGAACAAGGUUCCUUUGGGAAUUUGUGGGCCAAAGUGUUUCUGAGAAGUGGAAAAAUUGAUGCCAGAGAGCUGUGAAGAAAGGAAAAGGAAGCCAUCAGCUGAGAGGGCACAGUAUAUAUGUAUACAUAAUUUCUGGAAAUCUGAAAGAUGGGAAAUCCUGGAAGGCAAUGCAGCUAUCAAUGAAAGGAACAUAGAAGACCUGAACUCUGGGCAUGAGUCAGCCACGGAUUUACUGAAAGAUCCUGAGCAUUCAUUCAUUCACUCAUACAUCCAUGCAUUCAACAAAUAGAUCUUGAGCCAUCUAUUAAGCACCAAGCACUGUUCUAAGGGCUGGGGAUCCAGGAGUGAAUGAAAUAUACAAUGUCUGUGCUCUCCUGGAGCCUACAAUCUAGUGUGGACAAGGACAAAUGUGUGAACAAAAAAUAUUUGUUGAAUUGAAUCGAAAUAUUAUGAUGUCAAGUAAUGCUACAUACUAUGAAGAAAAAGAAAGAGGGACAAGAGACAGCAAGGGAGAGGGCCUCUCUAAGAAAGAGACACUGGACGCAAUGACACAAGGAGAGGGCUGUGUAAAUAGAAAGUGUUCCAUGCUUAGGGAAGAGCAUAUGCACGGGCUCUGAGACAGAUGUGUCUCUGGCACAUCCCAGGCUGUUCCGUGAAAGGGCCCUAUAUGCAAAAAGGCCCUCAAAUGCCAAAGGAGCUGAGAAACCGAAGAACAAGGAAGACAAAUUCAGUUUGUCGGUAAAGGGUGGUUUAUUGGGGAACUCACAGACAGAAGCAUGGUCUUGGGCAGCUGCAAGACAAAGGGAUUUCUCAUGGUUACCCUCAGAUCCAGAGAUUAUAUACUAGAGGGAAAGAGGGUACAUACUCCAAAGAGUCAAUGAAAGACCACUGUCCAGAACAGGCAAGACUGCUAUGUGCGUCAUAGCCUGUACUUGGUGUGAUAGUAUUAUGGUUGCUUUGAUCUCAAGGCAGGAUUUGUAGCGAGUACAUGUUCUUACACUAAGGACAGUAAAUAAAGUAGGAAUCAGGAGGACUUCAGGGACUGGGGUGAAUCAGAAGUCAACAUGGUGGAUUAGCAUCCAAGAUGCAGUCACGUUUGUCUCCACACAAGCACAGCAAGUAGGCUGAGCCCCUGCAGAAUGAGGAGAGAAGGGGUGCAGAGGAAUGGAGGCCAGGGGAGUAGUCGGUGGGGCCUGCAGCCUCUGGCAAGGAUUUGGGCUUUAUUCUGGGCCAGAUAGGAAGCCAUGAUGGAGAUUUUAGCAGAGGAAUGACAUGAUCUAAAUUAGGGAAAGAAGAAGUGGAAGGUUACCAGGCGCUUAGCUCCCUCCUGGCUCCCACAGAUGCUAAACUUACCCGAUUUUAAUAAUUUUUACACACUGAAGGGAACCCACACUAAAUCAUUGUUUUUAAACAGCUAACAAUGUUGUUGGGCUGGGUGUGGUGACUCCCAGCAUUUUGGAAAGUCAAGGCAGGAGGAUUGCUUGAGCCCAGGAGUUCAAGACCAGCCUGGGCAACAAAGUGAGACCCCAUCUCUACAAAGCAAGUAAAAAAAAUUAUCUGGGCAUGGUGGCACGAACCUGUAGUCCCAGCUACUUGGAAGGCUGAGGCAGGAGGACCGCUGGGUCCCAGUGGGGUCCAGGCUGCAGUGAGCCAUGAUCGCACCACUGCACUCCAAACAACCCCACCCCCCAAAAACCCAAUGAUGUAAAUUCACAUUCUGCUCAGAUAACUAUUAUAUCAAAAACUAGAAUUUUACAAACUAGGGUUCCUCGAGUAUUUAAACAAUGAUUAAAAAUUUAAUCAAUUAAACUCUUUCAAACUAAAAAUGUAAUGAAAAUUAUAAGCCAAAUGGAUAUGUUAAAAUGGUUUGAACACCUUACAAAUCUGAUACACAUGAAUAUAAUUGUUACAAAACUUUUCAGUAUAAACCUCCAAAAACCUUUUUAUAAAAAUGUCAAUGUUGUGGAUCUAAAUUUGCU